rnacentral:rRNA from 1 species
CCUACGGGUGGCAGCAGUGAGGAAUAUUGGUCAAUGGACGCAAGUCUGAACCAGCCAUGCCGCGUGCAGGAAGACGGCUCUAUGAGUUGUAAACUGCUUUUGUACGAGGGUAAACGCAGAUACGCGUAUCUGUCUGAAAGUAUCGUACGAAUAAGGAUCGGCUAACUCCGUGCCAGCAGCCGCGGUAAUACGGAGGAUUCAAGCGUUAUCCGGAUUUAUUGGGUUUAAAGGGUGCGUAGGCGGUCGGAUAAGUUAGAGGUGAAAUCCCGAGGCUCAACUUCGGAAUUGCAUCUGAUACUGUUCGUCUAGAGAGUAGUUGCGGUAGGCGGAAUGUAUGGUGUAGCGGUGAAAUGCUUAGAGAUCACACAGAACACCGAUUGCGAAGGCAGCUUACCAAGCUACUUCUGACGUUGAGGCACGAAAGCGUGGGGAGCAAACAGGAUUAGAUACCCGUGUAGUC